ensembl:lncRNA
GUUCUUUUGCUCUUCUUGUCUUUCCUUUUUAGUGCAGGGGUCAUUUCUGCUGUCGUUACUGGCUUCCUUUCUUCAGCCUCACCAUGUCAGAUUUAGGCUGCUCCCUCCUCAUCAUCCCUGGAUCUCUGUUGGCCAUGCUGACAGGAAGGCAGAGGUCACCGUGGUGUGAAGUCGUCAGCCUGCUCAAGUUUGCCUUCAUCACCUCCUCCAUAGGGAGCUUAGCCAUCCUCUGUGUGCAACAGCUGAUUGGCAUGGCCUCCACAAGAAGUCCUGUCUUUGUUGUCAUGGCAGCAGCCUGCCUUUCUUCUUGGGUGACAGGGGUGGUGUUUGGGAGUGUCCCUGUUGUCUACACCUGGAUCAGGUACGACCCUGCAGAGAUGUUGUGUGCUGUCUUUUGGGAGAACAGUUACUCAGAUAUGUUGGUCUAUAUUCUCUGCGCUUUCUCCAUUUGUAUCUUCCUCCCCUUCCUCCUCAUCGUCCUUUGCUCUCUACUGAUUGCCACUGGCUGCCGCUCAAGCUGCAACAGGGAUGGUGAAGCAGAUCUGUCUUCAGUCAGUCCUAAGCUGGUGGCCUUCUACAUGCUCUGCUACACUCCUUUUGUUGCGUCUGAGCUCAUCCUGCUGGGAAGGAUGGACCUGUCCCCGGCACCUCAUUGGUUAAGGACUCUUUCAUCAGUGAUGUCAUACUUGGACUGUAGUCUGAACCCUCUUAUUUACUGCUCCCAUCAAAACUUCCGGGAAGCGGGCCUCGCUCUGCUUUGGACCAGAAAGAAACCAUCGACAGAGCCUGUCCUCACUUCUAUCACUAGACAUGACGUGUAAAUAUGUGACGGGUUCAACGUGUAUUCCCCACAAAUAUCAAGAACACAUUUCAUAAACAGCAGCAUUUAUUUGAGGUCAGUGUCAUUAGUAUGUUUUUUUCUCCUACUUUGUUAUUCUUAUAAUAUACAAUAUCAAGUAAUUA